CAUUUGAAAGUGACAGUCCUCCGUCGGAAGAUGUGGAUCUUGCCAUCAUUUUGAGGACUUUUCAAGAGGAUCACCUUUCUCACGGCCUGGUAUCCACCAUUUGUGUCAGGAGGAGAAAGCUUCUGGAGAGUGCCGUUAAAGCCAUCUCCAGAAACGCUUUCUGUUGGACCCACUCACCACUUAUUGAGUUUGUAGGAGAAGACGCAGAUGAUAUGGGGGACCGCAGCGAGAGUUUUUCAGACUCUUGAUGAUAGAGGUACAGACCUCCCUGGGCAUUUUUGAGGGAAAGGCCGGCCAGCUCUUUCUUAGUUACGACCAAGCAGCACUAGACCAGCGUAAAUAUUUCAGAGGUGGCAACCUCAUCGCUUGGUCGAUUGCCCACGGAGGUCCGUGUAUCAGAGCCCUGGACCCCAGCCUCUUCCAGCUGAUGUGCGGACAGGAGCCUCCGCUGGAGCAGUUUGACUGGCGUGUGCUCCCUGACCCAGAUGUGCAAAGCAAAGUCAACAGGAUCCUACAGUGCAAGACUGCAGGGGACCUGACUCAGCUCCAGCAAGACCUGGGGGACUGGAUUGCAGAGUGCGGCGUCCCAAGCGUAUUUAGUGCCACAGUUGAAGACAUACCAAAAGUCU